rnacentral:rRNA from 1 species
UGGUGGAGCGAUUUGUCUGGUUAAUUCCGAUAACGAACGAGACUCUAGCCUAUUAAAUAGUUCGCGGUUUCCAACGUAGGCCCCGCUCGGCCGCCGCGUCUGUCGCGCUCCCUCGGGGGCCGGUGGCGUGGCGUGUCGGUGGUGGUCCCCAGACCGCGCUAACUUCUUAGAGGGACAAGUGGCGUUUAGCCACGCGAGAUUUAGCAAUAAACAA